UUGACAGAAGAGAGUGAGCACACGGCGCGAUGAACAGCAUAGCGUGUGUGCUGUCCUCGUCGCGUGCUCACUCCUCUUUCUGUCAG
rnacentral:pre_miRNA from 1 species